rnacentral:rRNA from 1 species
CCUACGGGGGGCAGCAGUGGGGGAUAUUGCACAAUGGGGGAAACCCUGAUGCAGCGACGCCGCGUGGGCGAAGAAGUAUUUCGGUAUGUAAAGCCCUAUCUGCAGGGAAGAAGAAAUGACGGUACCUGAGUAAGAAGCACCGGCUAAAUACGUGCCAGCAGCCGCGGUAAUACGUAUGGUGCAAGCGUUAUCCGGAUUUACUGGGUGUAAAGGGAGCGCAGGCGGCACGGCAAGCCUGAUGUGAAAGCCCGCGGCCCAAGCGCGGGACUGCAUUGGGAACUACCGGGCUGGAGUGCCGGAGAGGUAGGCGGAAUUCCUAGUGUAGCGGUGAAAUGCGUAGAUAUUAGGAGGAACACCAGUGGCGAAGGCGACUUUCUGGACUGUACCUGACGCUGAGGCGCGAAAGCGUGGGUAGCGAACGGGAUUAGAUACCCUAGUAGUC